rnacentral:rRNA from 1 species
CUCCCUCGUUACUGACCCCAGGUUCGAUAGUACCAAUUAGGCAUCACCUCGCCAAGAACCAACUUCGAUGAAGCGACGGGCGGUGUGUGCAAGGAG